AUUGAAUAUCCCUGAUGUUUCUCUGGAAGGAAAUCCUCACCCUGAGCUCAUCAACUUUAUUAUCUAGAGACUGAACAUUAGCGAGUAAUACACUCAAAAGCGGUUGAUAGUGUGCGAGUCGUACUAGAAGUCCACUCUGAAUACCUCUUCUCCAUCGGUGGUGUUUUGGAUCAGCCUUUGGAACCAGUUCAAUUGCCCUGGGGGUGCAACUAAAGGAUCCAAUUUGGGAAAGUCGUAUUCCUGGUCGUAAUACUGGUAAUGCUGAUGAGUUACCGGCACUCUGAUACCCAAAAGUUAUUCCCGGCUGUAUGUAAUAACACAAAAACAAUUCUGGGCUGAUAAUGUAAUAACACAUAAAAAAUACUGCAAAAUUGUCUAGGAGCUAAAAGCACGGCUGCCCGAUCUGUUCUACACUGCUCCAGUCAGGAGCAGAGUAAAAACACUUCCUGGAACAAACAAGACCACCCAGUCAGUAGCAGAGUAAAAACACUUCCUGGAAACAACAAGACCACCCAGUCAGGAGCAGAGUAAAAACACUUCCUGGAACAAACAAGACCACCCAGUCAGUAGCAGAGUAAAAACACUUCCUGGAACAAACAAGACCACCCAGUCAGGAGCAGAGUAAAAACACUUCCUGGAACAAACAAGACCACCCAGUCAGGAGCAGAGUAAAAACACUUCCUGGAACAAACAAGACCACCCAGUCAGGAGCAGAGUAAAAAUAUAUAUAAUCAAACAUUUUAUUCAUCACAUGCUUCAUAAACAGGUGAACUGUGAAAUGCUUACGGCCCUUCCCAAAAAUAAUAGAAAAAUGACGAGGAAUAGUAAAAUGACAUAGCUGAUCUUUCUGCCAUCAGUCCACUUUUCAGAAUAAAAGCCUUACUCCUGCUGCAUCAGGUGUCCUACUUUCAAUAGUCUACCACUUUUAUCCAAGAUGAAUCUUCAAGGAGAUGAUGUAAUGUUUUAUUAACUGAUAUCGGCCUCAUAAUAAUGCGUAUGCUGAUAUUUGACAACUGCAGCUAUGAAUCGUAUAAAGUGAACCAGAUUAAUUUAAUAAACUUUGUUUUAAAAAAAAGAAGGCAUUCUUGAGAGGUUUUAUUUGUGAAAGAAUCAAUCCAUUUCAAGAGUGGGUGAAACGCCUGUGGUGAGACAGUAACAUUACCUUCAUAGAAAGCAUACAGGUUCCUCUGGUGAGUCAGUUAAAGAAAGCAUACAGGUUCCUCUGGUGAGUCAGUUAAAGAAAGCAUACAGGUUCCUCUGGUGAGUUAUGGACCUAAGUCAAUAAUUGAAAUGCAACAAGUCUGUUUUCUGUGCCUCCUAGUAUAUCUCUCAUGAACAGAUCCAUACGAAAUAAAACAAUACACACAACUUACACUACACACGGAGAAAAAGAGUGCAGGUGUUAUGUUAGAUAGAAAUGUAAACAGACCAUCACUCUACCAUUGUGGCAAGAUGGAGUAGGUCUACACCUCCAUCUAGUGGUCAUGUCAGGGACAACAUCUUUUGACAAGCUUUGUAACUAACUUAUGUUAAGGUUAGGGAAAGAGUUAUUUCCCCUGCCUCAUACAUUCUCCUAACCUGACCCUCAGUAUAAAGAUACAACAGACGUGUUGAAUAGUAUCUGGAGGAAAACAGCUGCGGAUAUGGCUCGGAUGUACUGCCUAAAA